UACGUAGGGCGCAAGCGUUAUCCGGAAUUAUUGGGCGUAAAGAGCUCGUAGGCGGUUUGUCGCGUCUGCCGUGAAAGUCCGGGGCUCAACUCCGGAUCUGCGGUGGGUACGGGCAGACUAGAGUGCGGUAGGGGAGAUUGGAAUUCCUGGUGUAGCGGUGGAAUGCGCAGAUAUCAGGAGGAACACCAAUGGCGAAGGCAGAUCUAUGGGCCGUAACUGACGCUGAGGAGCGAAAGCAUGGGUAGCGAACAGG
rnacentral:rRNA from 1 species